UACGUAGGGGGCGAGCGUUGUCCGGAUUUACUGGGCGUAAAGCGCGUGUAGGCGGCGGCUUAAGUCGGGUGUGAAAGCCCGGGGCUCAACCCCGGGAUGCCGCCCGAGACUGGGUCGCUUGAGGUCGGAAGAGGGGAGUGGAAUUCCAGGUGUAGCGGUGAAAUGCGUAGAGAUCUGGAGGAACACCCGUGGCGAAGGCGGCUCCCUGGUCCGAUUCUGACGCUGAGACGCGAAAGCGCGGGGAGCGAACGGG
rnacentral:rRNA from 2 species